rnacentral:misc_RNA from 1 species
CAACUGAUUUUAGAAUACCUAUAUCUUUAACUUAUAGCUCGGCUCUAUUUUCAUAACUACACAGUUAGUUAUUUUUGAACAAUUAUUAAAAUUAUUUAAAAUCAUGGGUAAGAUGUUCGAUGGAAUUACGCUUAUCAGAGAUUUUAUUUUAAUAAAUAUUUACUUUAAUAAAAUCCAAAAAAAAAUAAAAUUGUGAAGAUUGCAUAAAGCUAGAAUUUUAACUAUUUUAUUUAUUUAAAAAACCAUAUGAUUUCCUACAGUUAGUUUUCUGCAAUGCAGAAGUUCUUGCUGUUAACCCUACGAAAACAAGGGGAAAAAGCAAGCGUAUCUUUUGC